UACGGAGGGUGCAAGCGUUGCUCGGAAUCACUGGGCGUAAAGCGUGCGCAGGCGGUACGUUAAGUCGGGUGUGAAAGCCCAGGGCUCAACCCUGGAACUGCACUCGAAACUGGCGAACUAGAAUACGAGAGAGGAAAGCGGAAUUCCUGGUGUAGAGGUGAAAUUCGUAGAUAUCAGGAGGAACACCAGUGGCGAAAGCGGCUUUCUGGCUCGAUAUUGACGCUCAUGCACGAAAGCGUGGGGAGCAAAC
rnacentral:rRNA from 1 species